AAGGGCACCACAAGAACGCGUGGAGCAUGUGGCUUAAUUUGACUCAACGCGGGAAAUCUUACCGGGUCCGGACACACUGAGGAUUGACAGGUGUUAUCCCAGUUAUUAACUGGGUGUUAAAUAUGCUAGUCCUUUCAUGAUUAUGUGAUAGGUGGUGCAUGGCCGUUCUUAGUUCGUGGAGUGAUCUGUCUGCUUAAUUGCGUUUCACUAAAGGCCCAUAUUAUAACGCAUGUAUUGCGGCGCUUUGACCCCUCUUAACUGAGCGUUGUGUCUUAGUUAGCUUAGCAUCAUGCAUUUGGGCCUUGAAAGCAACGAACGUGACCGCAACCUCUUGUUGCCUCUCAUACCAAAUACAUAUCACUUCGGUGCGUGUAUCAAAGAGGCCUUUUAAACUAGAGGGACCGCUGUUACUUUCUUAAACCAGAGGAAGGUUGCGGCAAUAACAGGUCUGUGAUGCCCUUAGAUGUUCCGGGCUGCACACGUGCUACGAUGAUUAUUGCAGUGAACAUCUCAUUUAUCAUACACCGCAUGCGCGAGUCCAUUUUUUCGGUUCGCCGCUUAAAAUGUGUAUCUCUGCGCGCGGUAAAGCCUGCUUCGAAAGUAAGUGGGUAAUCAAUUAGAAGUAAUGAUUUCCAUUAUUCGCACACAUAUAUACGGCAUCUUUACCCGGCCUGCCUUGUUGCAGUGUCUUUGUGUGUAUCGAUGUAUCUUACCGUAUGUGCAAUUGUCAAUUCAUGGUGGGGACAGACCAUUGUUAAUUGUUGGUCUCGGUCUUAACUAGGAAUGCCUUGUACGGGUCUUUGGUUCAACAAACCACCCGGAAUACGUCCCUGCCCUUUGUACACACCGCCCGUCGCUCUUACCGAUGGACUUCUCUGUGAGUUUGAGGGACUGGAACCCAUUCUAUGGAAACUUAAACGAACAGUGUGGUCUAAAGGAAAGAGAAGUCGUAACAAGGCAUCGGUAGGUGAACCU
rnacentral:rRNA from 1 species